rnacentral:rRNA from 1 species
CCUGUAACAGGGGGAUAACCCGGAGAAAUCCGGACUAAAACCCCAUAAUAUGGGCUCUCCGCAUGGAGGGUCCAUUAAAGAGAGCAAUCUUGGUUACAGACGAGCAUGCGCUCCAUUAGCCAGUUGGCGGGGUAACGGCCCACCAAAGCGACGAUGGAUAGGGGUUCUGAGAGGAAGGUCCCCCACAUUGGAACUGAGACACGGUCCAAACUCCUACGGGAGGCAGCAGUGAGGAAUAUUGGUCAAUGGUCGGCAGACUGAACCAGCCAAGUCGCGUGAGGGAAGACGGCCCUACGGGUUGUAAACCUCUUUUGUCGGAGAGUAAAGUGCGCUACGCGUAGCGCAUUGCAAGUAUCCGAAGAAAAAGCAUCGGCUAACUCCGUGCCAGCAGCCGCGGUAAUACGGAGGAUGCAAGCGUUAUCCGGAUUUAUUGGGUUUAAAGGGUGCGUAGGCGGCACGCCAAGUCAGCGGUGAAAUUUCCGGGCUCAACCCGGACUGUGCCGUUGAAACUGGCGAGCUAGAGUGCACAAGAGGCAGGCGGAAUGCGUGGUGUAGCGGUGAAAUGCAUAGAUAUCACGCAGAACCCCGAUUGCGAAGGCAGCCUGCUAGGGUGCGACAGACGCUGAGGCACGAAAGCGUGGGUAUCGAACGGGAUUAGAUACCCUGGUAGUCCACGCAGUAAACGAUGAAUACUAACUGUUUGCGAUACAAUGUAAGCGGUACAGCGAAAGCGUUAAGUAUUCCACCUGGGGAGUAC